GACGAACGCUGGCGGCAUGCCUAACACAUGCAAGUCGAACGGAGAUUAUUUCGGUAAUCUUAGUGGCGAACGGGUGAGUAACGCGUGGGCAACCUGCCCUCUAGAUGGGGACAACAUCCCGAAAGGGGUGCUAAUACCGAAUGUGACAGCAAUCUCGCAUGAGGAUGCUGUGAAAGAUGGCCUCUAUUUAUAAGCUAUCGCUAGAGGAUGGGCCUGCGUCUGAUUAGCUAGUUGGUGGGGUAACGGCCUACCAAGGCGAUGAUCAGUAGCCGGUCUGAGAGGAUGAACGGCCACAUUGGGACUAAGACACGGCCCAGACUCCUACGGGAGGCAGCAGUGGGGAAUCUUCCGCAAUGGGCGAAAGCCUGACGGAGCAAUGCCGCGUGAGUGAUGAAGGAAUUCGUUCCGUAAAGCUCUUUUGUUUAUGACGAAUGUGCAGAUUGUGAACAAUGAUCUGUAAUGACGGUAGUAAACGAAUAAGCCACGGCUAACUACGUG
rnacentral:rRNA from 1 species